GACGAACGCUGGCGGCGUGCUUAACACAUGCAAGUCGAACGGAAAGGCCCUGCUUUUGUGGGGUGCUCGAGUGGCGAACGGGUGAGUAACACGUGAGUAACCUGCCCUUGACUUUGGGAUAACUUCAGGAAACUGGGGCUAAUAUCGGGUAGGAGCUCCUGCUGCACGGUGGGGGUUGGAAAGUUUCGGCGGUUGGGGCUGGACUCGCGGCUUAUCAGCUGGUUGGUGGGGUAGUGGCUUACCAAGGCUUUGACGGGUAGCCGGCCUGAGAGGGUUACCGGCCACAUGGGGACUGAGAUACGGCCCAGACUCCUACGGGAGGCAGCAGUGGGGAAUAUUGCACAAUGGGCGGAAGCCUGAUGCAGCAACGCCGCGUGCGGGAUGACGGCCUUCGGGUUGUAAACCGCUUUCGCCUGUGACGAAGCGUGAGUGACGGUAAUGGGUAAAGAAGCACCGGCUAACUACGUG
rnacentral:rRNA from 1 species